rnacentral:rRNA from 1 species
AACGAACGCUGGCGGCGUGCCUAACACAUGCAAGUCGCGCGAGAAAGUCCGCAAGGAUGAGUAAAGCGGCGAACGGGUGAGUAACACGUAGGUAACCUGCCUUACAGUCUGGGACAACCUGUCGAAAGACGGGCUAAUACUAGAUAAGACCACGACUCUUUCGGGAGCAGUGGUAAAAGAUGGCCUCUUCAUGAAAGCUAUCGCUGAAAGAUGGGCCUGCGCACCAUAGCUAGUUGGUAGGGUAAUGGCCUACCAAGGCUACGAUGGUUAGCUGAUCUUAGAGGAUGAUCAGCCACACUGGAACUGAAACACGGUCCAGACUCCUACGGGAGGCAGCAGUGGGGAAUAUUGCGCAAGU